rnacentral:tRNA from 1 species
GGGCACGUAACUCAGUUGGUAGAGUGCCACCUUCACACGGUGGAAGUCACAGGUUCAAGUCCUGUCGCGCCCA